rnacentral:rRNA from 1 species
AGAGUUUGAUCAUGGCUCAGGAUGAACGCUAGCUACAGGCUUAACACAUGCAAGUCGAGGGGCAUCAGGGUGUAGCAAUACACCGCUGGCGACCGGCGCACGGGUGAGUAACACGUAUCCAACCUGCCCUUUACUCGGGGAUAGCCUUUCGAAAGAAAGAUUAAUACCCGAUGGCAUAACAUGACCUCCUGGUUUUGUUAUUAAAGAAUUUCGGUAGAGGGAUGGGGAUGCGUUCCAUUAGGCAGUUGGCGGGGUAACGGCCCACCAAACCUUCGAUGGAUAGGGGUUCUGAGAGGAAGGUCCCCCACAUUGGAACUGAGACACGGUCCAAACUCCUACGGGAGGCAGCA